ACUACGGCCGCAAGGUUAAAAUUCAAAUGAAUUGACGGGGGCCCGCACAAGGCGGUGGAGCAUGUGGUUUAAUUCGAUGCAACGCGAAGAACCUUACCUACUCUUGACAUCCAGAGAACUUUGCAGAGAUGGUUUGGUGCCUUCGGGAACUCUGAGACAGGUGCUGCAUGGCUGUCGUCAGCUCGUGUUGUGAAAUGUUGGGUUAAGUCCCGCAACGAGCGCAACCCUUAUCCUUCGUUGCCAGCGGUUCGGCCGGGAACUCAAAGGAGACUGCCAGUGAUAAACUGGAGGAAGGUGGGGAUGACGUCAAGUCAUCAUGGCCCUUACGAGUAGGGCUACACACGUGCUACAAUGGCGCAUACAAAGAGAAGCGACCUCGCGAGAGCAAGCGGACCUUCAUAAAGUGCGUCGUAGUCUGGAUUGGAGUCUGCAACUCGACUCCAUGAAGUCGGAAUCGCUAGUAAUCGUGGAUCAGAAUGCCACGGUGAAUACGUUCCCGGGCCUUGUACACACCGCCCGUCACACCAUGGGAGUGGGUUGCAAAAGAAGUAGGUAGCUUA
rnacentral:rRNA from 1 species